UACGUAGGUGGCAAGCGUUGUCCGGAUUUAUUGGGUUUAAAGGGUGCGUAGGCGGCUUUGUAAGUCAGUGGUGAAAUAUGGCAGCUUAACUGUCAGGGUGCCAUUGAUACUGCGGAGCUUGAGUACAGAUGAGGUAGGCGGAAUUGACGGUGUAGCGGUGAAAUGCGCAGAUAUCGGGAAGAACACCCGUGGCGAAGGCGGCUCUCUGGGACGGUACUGACGCUGAGACGCGAAAGCGUGGGGAGCGAACAGG
rnacentral:rRNA from 1 species